rnacentral:rRNA from 1 species
UACGAAGGGGGGCUAGCGUUGCUCGGAAUCACUGGGCGUAAAGGGCGCGUAGGCGGGUCUUUAAGUCGGGGGGUGAAAGCCUGAGGCUCAACCUCAGAAUUGCCCUUCGAUACUGGAGAUCUUGAGACCGGAAGAGGUAAGUGGAACUGCGAGUGUAGAGGUGAAAUUCGUAGAUAUUCGCAAGAACACCAGUGGCGAAGGCGGCUUA